rnacentral:rRNA from 1 species
AGACAUGAGCAUCGACACUUUGAACGCAUAUUGCAGGCCUGUGCUUGUAACAGGCCUACCCUUGUGUCAGGGUCGGUAAUACAACAUCCAUCAGGAAUUUAUUCCUGCACUGUCUCCUCGGCUAGGCUUGUCCUGGAUCGGGAGAUUAAAUUGUGUCUAGCUGGCUUGGCUCGCCAUUCAACUCUUGGGACUUAAAAACUCCUGGGUUGUUGGCAUUGGGCUGCUGGCAUCCAGACACUGGCAUGUGAGGUGGCAACUGUCUUUGCACCUCUUUCGUUGCCUUCAUUUUUUUUUUCGACCUGACAUCAAGGGAGGUUACCCGCCGAAUUUAAGCAUAUUAAUAAGCGGAGGAAAAGAAAACAACUGUGAUUCCCUUAGUAAUGGCGAAUGAAACGGGAGAAGCCCAUCGCUGAACCGCUGGCCAUACAGGUCAUGCGGAAUGUAGCGUUUGGAAGGUCUCUUUCCAAGGUCUAGACACCA